UACGAAGGGGGCUAGCGUUGCUCGGAAUCACUGGGCGUAAAGCGCACGUAGGCGGAUUGUUAAGCCAGGGGUGAAAUCCUGGAGCUCAACUCCAGAACUGCCUUUGAUACUGGCGAUCUCGAGUCCGGGAGAGGUGAGUGGAACUGCGAGUGUAGAGGUGAAAUUCGUAGAUAUUCGCAAGAACACCAGUGGCGAAGGCGGCUCACUGGCCCGGUACUGACGCUGAGGUGCGAAAGCGUGGGGAGCA
rnacentral:rRNA from 1 species